rnacentral:rRNA from 1 species
UGAGGAAUAUUGGACAAUGGGGGCAACCCUGAUCCAGCCAUGCCGCGUGAGUGAAGAAGGCCUUAGGGUUGUAAAGCUCUUUCACCCGUGACGAUGAUGACGGUAGCGGGAGAAGAAGCCCCGGCUAAUUCCGUGCCAGCAGCCGCGGUAAUACGGAAGGGGCUAGCGUUGUUCGGAAUUACUGGGCGUAAAGCGCGCGUAGGCGGCCAUGCAAGUGAGGCGUGAAAGGCCUGGGCUCAACCUGGGAACUGCGCUUCAGACUGCACGGCUUGAGUCCGGGAGAGGGUGGUGGAAUUCCCAGUGUAGAGGUGAAAUUCGUAGAUAUUGGGAGGAACACCAGUGGCGAAGGCGGCCACCUGGCCCGGUACUGACGCUCAAGUGCGAAAGCGUGGGGAGCAAACA